AUUCCACGUUAGGGCAAUACCUUUAUUAUACAAACUAUGGGUUGGGUUCAACUAAACAGUUGUGCUUACAGAAGCCAAAGCAACAAAUCCCACUAGUGCAAUAGGUUUCCUGCUCUCAUUCCCCUGUGAGCUCCCCACUCCCCAAAUCAGCUAUGGGGAGUUGAAAGAAGCCCCAGAGCAGUGUAUUGAUGGAGGAGAGGGAAAACAAUUCUAUCUCGCAAGCAAAAAAUUCUUGUACUGACAGAAUAUUCAUAAUAUUGUGAUGUUAGAUUCCUCCAUAGAUCUCCAAAAUCUGUACUAGUUUCAUACUUUUGAGGAAGGAAAAGGAGUUUAUCUCUGGUAAGGGAACCUAAUAUGCAGGAACAGGAGAUUAAAAGCAAGCUAAGAAACCACAGUUUAGUCCAAGAUGCAAAGGACAUAAUUCUCAUGAACAUGGUGAGCAAUGUGUUGGCAUGCCAGGCAGUGUCUCCUUGUUAUUCAGGUGAACAGCAGUUGUGGGCUGGUACACUGGCCAGUUUCUGUCUCCUUCAGCAUCAGCAUGACAUCACAAUGGCCUGUGUCUCUCUUUCGGGUUGGACACAUCAAUGUGAGAACACAGUGGCCAGUCUGGGAAAAAGGCAGCAUCAGCAUGAGAUCACAGUGGCCAGUUUUUCUCCCUCAGGUGGCUAGCAUGGGCCACAGUGGGCAGCCCCUGUCCUUCAGGCAGGGAGCAUCAUCUUGUGGGGAGAGGCAUUCAUAUGUCUUCAUUCCUCUUCCACUCAGGCAGGCCGUAGCAUGUGGACAGAAUAUUUAUUUCUCUUAUGGAAGCUGCCAAAAGCAGGUGCAUGUCAACACAAUCUCUUUCUCAGUGCAGCGGGCUUAGUUGAGAGCAGAUGGGGACCCUGUAUGUUCUUCUCUUAGUGAGGUGGUCAGCAGAACUAUGAGUGUUGUGGUCAUCUCACCGAAAUGCGCAGCAGCAUGCGGACAGAGAAGCAGCAGGCAAGGCAAAGAGCAGGCAAGUAGGCAAUUAAUCUAUUACAGGGCCUCUCUAUUUACAGGAAGUGGACGUGGGUGGUGCUGUGGUCUAAACCACAGAGCCUCUCAUGCUAGCUGAUCAUGAGGUCAGCAGUUCAAGUCUUCAUGAAGGGAUGAGGCGCUGUUGCUUUGUCCCAGCUCCUGCCAACCUAGCAGUUCAAAAGCACACCAGUGCAAGUAAAUAAAGAGGUACUGCUGCAGUGGGAAGGUAAACAGCAUUUCCGUGCGCUCUGGUUUCCGUCACGGUGUUCCAUUGCACCAGAGGCAGUUUAGUCCUGCUGGCCACGUGACCCAGAAUGCUGUCUGUGGACAAACGCUGGCUCCCUCGGCCUGAAAGCGAGAUGAGCGCUGCAACCCCAUAGUUGCCUUUGACUGGACUUAACUGUCCAGCGAUCCUUUACGUUUUACCUUUACCUGCCUUUUGUGUACAAAUAAAUGGGGUUGAUUCAUUACCUUGUUAUUGUAGACCUCUGGUAAGGGAACCUAAUAUGCAGGAACAGGAGAGUAAAAGCAAGUUAAGAAACCCCAGUUUGGUCCAAGGUGCAAAGGACAUAAUUCUCAUGAACAUGGUGAGCAAUGUGUUGGCGUGCCAGGCAGUGUCUCCUUGUUAUUCAGGUGAACAGCAGUUGUGGGCUGGUACAUUGGCCUGUUUCUCUCUCUUUCAGCAUCAGCAUGACAUCACAAUGGCCUUUGUCUCUCCUUCUGGUUGGACACAUCAAUGUGAGAACACAGUGGCCAGUCUGUGAAAUAGGCAACAUCAGCAUGAGAUCACAGUGGCCAGUUUUUCUCCCUCAGGUGGCUAGCAUGGGCCACAGUGGGCAGCCCCUGUCCUUCAGGCAGGGAGCAUCAUCUUGUGGGGAGAGGCAUUCAUUCAUCUUCAUUCCUCUUCCACUCAGGCAGGCAGUAGCAUGUGGACAGAAUAUUUAUUUCUCUUAUGGAAGCUGCCAAAAGCAGGUGCAUGUCAACACAAUCUCUUUCUCAGUGAGGCGGGCUUAGUUGGGAGCAGAUGGUGGACCCUGUAUGUUCACCUUAGUGAGGUGGUCAGCAGAAGUAUGAGUGAAGUGGUCAUCUCACCGAAAUGGGCAGCAGCAUGUGGACAGAGAAGCUGCUCCAUAGUCGCCUUUAACUGGACUUAACCGUCCAGGGGUCCUUUACCUUUACCUUUUACCUUCCACGAAUUCGUCUAAUCCUUUUUUUAAAGCCAUCCAAGUUGGUGGCCACCACUACUUCUCUCAAUUCGCAUUUUUCAUACCAGGCAUAAUUUCACACAUCUUUACCACAGGCAGUUUAUCCCCCUCAGAGUUAAAUUCCCAUAAGAAAUCAGUUUCUGGGAUUUGUGUGUGUUAAAUGUGAUUUAAGGGUCUGCUGUGGAUGGGACCUUAGUCAUGAGUGUAGCCCUUUGUUACUUGCAUAACAAGUGACACCUCCUUCCCUCCAGACCCUCCCAGGUAUUAAGAUCAGCAGAGGUGGUCCUCUUAGCAGUUCCAUUACCUACACAGGUACAGUGGUGGUGACCCCCGAGAGGGAGUUUUCUGUGGCAGCCUCUAAGUUGCGGAAUUCCCCACAGAGGUGCAUCUGCCACCCUCAUUGUACCAUUGUCUCAGUACGUUUCUGAGCACAAUUCAAGGGGUUGGUGCUGACCUUUAAAGCCCUCAAUGACCUCGGCCCAGUAUACCUGAAGGAGUGUCUCCACCCCCAUCAUUCAGCCUGGACACUGAGGUCCAGCUCCAAGGGCCUUCUGAUGGUUCCCUCCCUGCAAGAAGUGAGGUUACAGGGAACCAGGCAGAGGGCUUUCUCGGUGGUGGCGCCCGCCCUGUGGAAUGCCCUCCCAUCAGAUGUCAAGGAGAUAAACAACUAUCUCACUUUUAGAAUACAUCUGAAGGGACUCCUGCAUAGGGAAGUUUUUAAUGUUUGAUUUCUUGUUGUUGUUUAGUCGUUUAGUCAUGUCUGACUCUUCGUGACCCCAUGGACCAGAACAUGCCAGGCACUCCUGUCUUCCAAUGCCUCCUGCAGUUUGGUCAAACUCAUGCUGGUAGCUUCGAGAACACUGUCCCACCAUCUCAUCCUCUGUCGUCCCCUUCUCCUUGUGCCCUCAAUCUUUCCCAACAUCAGGGUCUUUCCAGGGAGUCUUCUCUUCUCAUGAGGUGGCCAAAGUAUUGGAGUCUCAGCUUCAGGAUCUGUCCUUCCAGUGAGCACUCAGGGCUGAUUUCCUUCAGAAUGGAGAGGUUUGAUCUUGUAGUCCAUGGGACUCUCAAGAGUCUCCUCCAGCACCAUAAUUCAAAAGCAUCAAUUCUUCAGCGAUCAGCCUUCUUUAUGGUCCAGUUCUCACUUCCAUACAUCACUACUGGGAUGAUUACUUACUGUGUUUGAUUUCUUACUGUGUUUUAAUUUGUGGGAAGUUGCUCAGAGUGGCUGCGGUAACUCAGCCAGAUGGGCGGGGUAUGAGUUAUAAAUACUACUAUUUAUUAAUACUAAUACUAAUAAAAUAUAUAUAUAUAAUUAUGCAAUGUUCAUCAAAUUUUGAAGAUGUUCCUCUUUAUCCUGGCCUUUUACACACACACACACACACACACACACACACACACAAACAAACACUAAUGCUGUAUUUUAUAAUGUUGUAACCUGCCUUGGGACCUUCUUUCUGGUGGUGGCAGCAGCUGUAACAUGGUGUUUUUGUUCCAGGGUGAUAGGAGAGCAAAACAUUGCUUUCUUCUCAGUGAAGUAAAUGGUCUUAAACCCAGGUGCUCUGGGCUUAACCGGUUUGCACGCCAUAAGCUAGGAGAGCAAUUAACGGUGCCCUUUUAAUGUUGCCUCUCAAUACCUUGUUGGCUCCCCUCCCCACAUGGCUCCUGGGUGUGGGGGGGCGGGGAGGGAAGGAGGAAGGUUGUCAAAAGCUCUUCUCCUUGUUCAGCAGUUUUCUGGAAAACAGGAUAAGUGCCCGGCCCGUCUCCCAUCAGCAAAAAAUUAGCCGACUGAAUGUAAAGUUCAGCCCCCUCCCCAUGAACUCUAAGCCUCCAGACUAUUCACUUUCCCAGCUGCUGAAUAAUAAAUACCAACACUUACACAUGCAGGGCAGGACAACAUGCUGAUGUAAUCCUACAAAAGAACAGGCUACAGCUCUGCUCAGACAGGAUUUCUUUUUCUUUAGAAUUUAAAAGUCACAUGCAGAGUCCUUCGAGGGUGACCCUUUACACGUGCUCCGAGCUUGAGGAACUUGAUUAUUUUGCCAGUCAUGUCAUAUCUGGGUAAAUCUGCUCCCUUGUUUUUCCUACUCACAGCCAGCUAAGGAUAGGAGGGGAAAUUUGGUUCACUUCACAUUUUAAUGCCAACCUAUCUAAUUUGAACUUCUCGCAACGAGACACAAACAAAAAAAACACACCUACCUUUUGGAGUUCUUCAGCUUUUGAGAUGCGGUUCUCUAACCAAAAUUGUACAUUAUUAUUAUUAUUAUUAUUAUUAUUAUUAUUAUUAUCAUCAUCAUCAUUAUCAUUAUUAUUUUAAAAAUGAGUAUAUUAGGGGAAAGUGGGCACAAAAAUGUAUGUAUUACUGGGAAUGACAUACAACCCUGCAUUGUAUUAGCAAAGAUUGUUUGAAAAUCUUCGUAUGCAAAAUUUAUGAAUUUUCAGGCAAACUUGCUUUAAAACAAUUGUGAAAUGCAUUAUAUGAGUAGAAAUUGUAGCACUGUGAAACUGCUUAAUAACAAGGCAAAUCAGGUGUUUAUGCCUCUCCCCAAGUCAACCGACAAAGUGCUCUGUGUCAGAUCAGGCCCCUCACAAAGUCUGCAAUGGGGUGUUCUUUUUUUGUACUACCUCCUUUUCUGUUGCUAUGUCUCUGUGUUUCUCUAUUGCCUGUCAAGGUCUCAAACCCUUUCGGGAAGUGGAAUAAAGACACAUGAAACAGUAUUUUAGGUUAAUGGGCGAAAAAGGCCACAACUUUAUUGGUUACAGAUUGUGAGUGGUAUCGGCUUAGGCAAUGGAAACCGCACGACUAUAUAUGACUCCUGCCCGUCCGCAGGGAGUCUUGGAAGGGUUAACCACCAGUAGGCGGAGCCCUGCUGAUGCACAUCAACUAGGAACUCCCCAAGGGUCACCGAGAGGGGGCGUGCCAUGGCCCUAUCCCCCCCCAUCUGGGGCUUCGGACAGAGACCACGCCCCCCAGAUUCCUUUAACAGAAUACCCUUGAAAUGGGAGGGGUAGGUGAUGGCCACUACCUCCCCUCACCUUCAACCUAAUACUCCAAUGCCUAACCGCCUAACCUUACAAAGUUGUGACGAAUUGCUACUAGGUAGGCGAAAAACCAAAUGUUGUUGUUGUUGCUGUUUAGUUGUUUAGUCAUUUAGUCGUGUCCGACUCUUUGUGACCCCAUGGACCAGAGCACGCCAGGCACUCCUGUCUUCCACUGCCUCCCGCAGUUUGGUCAAACUCAUGCUGGUAGCUUUGAGAACACUGUCCAACCAUCUCGUCCUCUGUCAUCCCCUUCUCCUUGUGCCCUCCAUCUUUCCCAACAUCAGGGCCUUUUCCAGGGCGUCUUCUCUUCUCAUGAGGUGGCCAAAGUAGUGGAGCCUCAGCUUCAGGAUCUGUCAUUCCAGUGAGCACUCCGGGCUGAUUUCCUUCAGAAUGGAGAGGUUUUAUCUUCUUGCAGUCCAUGGGACUCUCAAGAGUCUCCUCCAGCACCAGAAUUCAAAAGCAUCAAUUCUUCGGUGAUCAGCCUUCUUUAUGGUCCAGCUCUCACUUCCAUACACCACGAAUGGGAUGAGUUUCAUAGCCAAAUGUUUAUUUUAACCUGGGCCACUCCACACAGGCUGGUGAUGAACCACAACUGGGAUGGUGCUCUGUUUAUACAGCUACCCUUGCAGCUGGACCAGAACUGGAAGUGUGAAAGCAGCACUCGGCAUCCAUGAUAAGCUUCCUCUUCUUCGGAUUGCUUAACAUGUUAUGUCCUUUGGAGCUGUAACAUCAAACCGAGUAAGAAUUUCCCUUUUCUUCUCCUGGAGCUGGCUGCAGUAGUUCUCUCCCUUCCUACUCCCACUGCCUUUAUCCUUAAGUAGUUACAGUUAAUUUGAAGCAGCAUGUUGUGUAUGGGAUACUUCAAAUGGCUCUUUCCAGUGCGUUUUGCUUUUGUUAGCAGUGGAUUUCACCCCCAUUGUGUGUAGCCAGCCCAGUUGCUUAGCUUUUGUGUGGUCCAGCCGCAUCACACCCCAAGGUGGUAUGGUUGCAGGCAAUGCCAUUCCCCUGUUAUUUACAAUGGCUAAUUAAGAUCCCACUUGCAACUCUUCACCCCACCCUUAAUUCUUAUACGAAGCAGCCAACGAAAGGUUUUGAUUUCCUUUUUGGCUGGAAGACCUUUUGGCUUCUGUGAGCAAAGGGGGAUUAGGAAGGGAAAGCACAUAAAGGUAUGUGCAAAAUCACCGCGUCAAAACUGCUCUCAGAACGCUGUCUCCAAGGGAUGAAAAAUGUUAUGAGCAGAGAGGGCUAAUUGGAAGCUGGUUCAGAGAUUGCACACUGGGUGGUAAAGGCCAGCCAGGCAGGCACACGGUUUGAUCAGCCACACAGCACAGACACGUCUAGCAUUCCUCCCUUUUCGCAAUUGUGGCUGACACCCUGGGAAAGAUCCUUUUUUUCCAUCUAGCCCCCGCAGCAGCCCAGAUGCAGGAAUCAACUGUAGCACAAACAAAAUGUCACAUCUUCCUCGUUUUGGAGGGGUUGGAACAAAUUCUGGGCCAAAAUCUGUUCUGGCCCCAUCCUAAGCAUGCUGAGAAGUUCCACUGGGUUCCGUGAGACAUACUCCCAAGCAAGCAUACAUAGGAUCACAGCUAGGAGGUCAUGGACAUUUUCCUCCCCAUGGUCUAUGGGCAGAAAUCAAUCAACCCACCUUGGCUAAAUUUAGCACGUACUGAUCGUGAUCUGAUUCAAAGAUCUAGGAACUGAAGGUCACCACUGCUCUGAAUUCCCAGCAAAAUAUUUAUGUGAUCUUAAGAGAAACAAAAGUGUGGAUCCAUAGCGCUGAAGGACGGAGACAAAGCCUGAGUUGCUGUCCAAAGACAAAGAAUUCUGGUUCCUCCUCUACCACCUAUCAUUCAGUAAUCCCAUGCUCUACUGAUGGGGCCUGCCUGGUGUAACCCUACCCAGGGUUGGCCAUCCUCCUAUCACCCUUGGUUUCUGUAAGACUCAGCUCCUUCCCCUUCCUUCUCAGAUCUCACAUAGAAGGUUGACACGUUUUAAUUUGGCACAUUAUGGACAGAUGAACCAGCUUUACAUCCUAUCAGGGUGGCAAAAUGAGUAGGAAAGAACAUAUAUGGUAGUAUGAUAGGUAUAUCUAAUCACAUUCUUUCAAUUGUCAGAUGUACAGCCAGAACACAGGGCAGUCCUGGAUGUAUGAAUUACUCCUUCAAUCAGUUACAGUGCUAUUUAAUCACAUCUAAGGGUAGCGCUGUGGAUUAAACCGCAGAGCCUAGGACUUGCUAAUCUGAAGGUCGCGGUUCGAAUCCCCGUAACGGGGUGAGCUCCCGUUGCUCAGUCCCUGCUCCUGCCAACCUAGCAGUUCGAAAUCAUGUCAAAGUGCAAGUUGAUAAAUAGGUACCGCUCUGGCGGGAAGGUAAAUGGCGUUUCCGUGCGCUGCUCUAGUUGGCCAGAAGCGGCUUAGUCAUGCUGGCCACAUGACCCGGAAGCUGUACGCCGGCUCCCUCGGCCAAUAAAGCGAGAUGAGCGCCGCAACCCCAGAAUCGUCCGCGACUGGACCUAAUAGUCAGGGGUCCCUUUACCCUUUACUUUUACUAAGUCCUAUAUACUGCAACAUUUUUUUCAUAACUAUUAUUUAGAUAUAUUACCAAUGCACCUCCCUAGCUAAGCAGUCCCUGGUCGUUGUUGCUAAGUGGAUGUAUUUAUUGUGUUUGUGAAUUUUCUCUCUUAACACAAAAUAAAUUGUUUCACACUACACUAUAAUUGUUGUGGUUAUGUUAAAGUGCCGUUGUAUAAUUUUGUACUGUAUGACGCUGUGAUGCCGUGGACUUAUAAAUAAAAUGAAGAAGAAGCAUGAGGAUGCGAUGUGCAUUUUAUUUAGAAAAUUGUUGUGUGUGCAUCUGCUGAAACUCAAAUUUGAGCUAAUUUAUAUUUUUAAUAUUGGGCUUUGGGCAGGAGUGGAGUGAGAUUUUAAAGCAACAGUUUAGGAGAUGGAUGCAAAUCCGGAUAUUUCUCCUCAUUUUACAAAGAGGCCCAGACUUCAGCUGAGGAGCACAGUUACAGUCCACACACAGGUAACAAAAGAGCCCAUUUCUUCCCAUGUGAAAAGGACAACAAUGACCGGUACAGUCCAUUGGUGUUUAAAAGUCACAGUAGGAAGUGGAUUAAGGCUACAGUUCUAAUUCCACUUACAGUACCUGUGAGCAAGCUCCAGCAAGCUCAGUGGGACAUACUUCCGAGUAGACCUGGUUAGAAUUGCCGCCUUGGUGCACAGUGGCUGCUUCUAAGCAACGAAACAACUUAGACAGUAAAUAAACCAAACUACACUUUGGGGGGGAAGAAAAGCAAUGAGGCGUUUGUUGGGUCAGUAGCAAUUAUAUACCAGUGCAUGUGCAAAUAAUAGAUAUUGCAAAGCUACACUACACUUGAUCUUAGCCAAAAGGCUGAGAAGCUUCUCAGCCUUUUGGCUAAGAUCAAGUGUAGUGUAGAUAUCACAAAGCAAUUUAUGUAUGUAUCUACGUACAAUAUGUGCAUGUUUAAAAAAGCAACACUAAGGCAGAAAACAUUCACAGCAAGGGUCUGUGCCAGGGGUAGGCAACCUAAGGCCCGUGGGCCGGAUGUGGCCCAAUCACCUUCUCAAUCCAACCGGUGGGCAGUCCAGGAAUCAGCGUGUUUUUACAUGAGUAGAAUGUGUCCUUUUAUUUAAAAUGCAUCUCUGGGUUAUUUGUGGGGCAUAGGAAUUGGUUCACAUAUUUUUUUCAAAAUGUAGUCCUGCCCACCACAAGGUCUGAGGGACAGUGGACUGGCCCAUGGCUGAAAAAAGGUUGCUGACCCCUGGUCUAUGCAAUGAUGGAGGGAGGGCUAGAGCCCGUCAUUCUGACCCCUUAGCUUUCUAUGUCUAUAACAUCCCACUUGCAGUCCAAAGUGAUUCGCUCCAGGAACAGGUGGGUUACCUAAGGGAGAAUUCAACCCUAGCUGAGAAAAUAGUGCUAUAGUCACAAUCUGCAUGGUCUGCUUCAACCUGAUGUUUGGCUUCUGAGUCACUCUGUACAAGCUCUAUGUAUCCUCAUUCAAGGCAGUCGAUGGUGGAUCUAAAAAUAGCUAUAUUUACACACACACACACACCUUUGGGGGCCAAAGUGGGUUACAUUUACAGGCACAGGAGCUCCUCCGGACUGGAUUAAGCCUGCAAAAUCAUGAAUUGGUCCAUGGGCUCUUUGUGGAGGAAGUAAAACCAGUGGGUUUUUCCUGGGGGGGACGCAGGGGUACGCAUUCCCCUAAACAUUUUGUGAAUCUUUGUACUUUUGUCCAUUUACUGUAUUUAUUUUCCCCGAUUUGAACUAUAAAAUGGUGAUUUUCUUGAGUCGAAAUGAGAGUACCCUUAAAUAUUAUUUUUUUGAGAAAAAGAAGCACCGGGUAAAACAGGUUCACUUUCCUCCAUCAUUCCUUACAAGGCAUGGGAAAUGGGGGUCCAUCACUUUCUUAAAGGUAACGGUAAAGGGACCCCUGACCAUUAGGUCCAGUCGUGACCAACUCUGGGGUUGUGGCGCUCAUCUCGCUUUACUGGCCGAGGGAGCCGGCGUACAGUUUCCGGGUCAUGUGGCCAGCAUAACUAAGCCGCUUCUGGUAAACCAGAGCAGCGCACGGAAAUGCCGUUUACCUUCCCGCCAGAGCGGUACCUAUUUAUCUACUUGCAUUUUGACGUGCUUUCAAACUGCUAGGUUGGCAGGAGCAGGGACCAAGCAACGGGAGCUCACCCUGUCGCGGGGAUUCGAACCGCCGACCUUCUGAUCGGCAAGCCCUAGGCUCUGUGGUUUAACCCACAGCGCCACCCGCGUCCCUCCAUCACUUUCUUACCUUGAAAUAAUUAAAAGGUGGUCAAGUGGUGGUGUAUUCCUGCUUGCACAUUUACAACUUGAUAGGCUUACUGUUUCUUUCUGGUGGUUGUUUGUGGCGGCUGAUAUACUUCGCAGCCUUCCUGAUCGGCCUUUGGGGGUCUCUGAUAGGCCUUACAAUUUGAGGCUGUCAAGAAGGCUGCCUGCAGAGUUAUGAAGAACUGGGGAGGUUUUUGUCUUGACUUUUGCUAAAGCAGAGGAAUGUAGGAUUUUUAAAAAACUGAAGGUAUUAUUUUAACUUAUAACAAACAAACGACCCAUCCACUGCUGUGUUUUAACCUGUGCUUUUUUUUCCUUAAAAAAAAAUGUUUAGGGGUACUCUCAUUUUGACUCAAGAAAAUCACAACUUUAUCGUUCCAAUUGGGGAAAAUAAAUACAGUAAAUGGACAAAAGUACAAAGAUUCACAAAAUGUUUAGGGGUAUGCGUACCCCUGCUUACCCCCAGGGGGGGGAAAGCACUGGUUUUAACAAUCAGCUAUCCCAAGUUGUUCUGUACUAUCUGCUGGAAACAUUUUUGAGUGUUCACUUUUUGCAAAGAAACAUAGAAAUAUUAUAUAGGGAAAAUAGAGCUGUGUCAGCCCUGAAAAGCACAGCAACUGUGUGCUCUGUAGCUUUAUGAGAACCCCAUUCUACCUGGCAGGUGGGAAUAUUGGCAUUGUGGAAGCCUUUGCAUUUCUCAAACUUUAUCGCCUACAUUGCCCCUUGUUCUUCCCCCCCCCCAAAAAUAACAUUUAUUAUUUUCAGUAGAUAAACAUAGUAAAAAAAGAAAAGAUUAACAAUAAUAAAACCAAACAAAAAAUAGGAGAAAAAGAGAAAGAAAGAAAAAGAUACAUACAACAUAUUACCACUUAAUUAAUUAAAAUUAAGUACCAUCCGUCUUCAUAAACAUAGUAUUUGACUUCCUCGAAUCUCUUCCAUCCGAAUUUCUUAGUAAUUAUAUGUAGCAGUUUCCAAUAUCAGAGUUUCAAAAAACCAUAUCACAGUCCUAAUCAUAUUACAUAGCUUUCCUUAUCGUACAUUUUCUUAUUUAUAAAUUUAAUUCCGUUUUAAUCCUAGGCCUAAUUGUUCCUUUCAAGUGGUUACAUAUCUUUAAUAUUACAAUACUUAUUCAAAUAGUCUUUAAAUUUCUUCCAGUCUUCUUGGUGUUCCUCUUCUUUCUGGUCGUGGAUUCUCUCUUGUUCUUCAUGGAAGGAUCGACUACUUACCCACGGUCUUCAUCUGUUGUGAGAAGACGAAAGGCUUUGGGGGCUUCUUGUGAACUAGAAGGAAGUGAAUAUAAAUCAAGCUGUCACAUCUGAAGAGGUUCUCCUGAAUGCCAUUCCAACCGGUAAUCUGAGCUGUGGAUUCUUCCUAUCUCAUGAGAAAUCUCCCUUUUCAAAGAGUGUACCACUCAGCUCUAGUCAAG
rnacentral:lncRNA from 1 species